rnacentral:rRNA from 1 species
UACAGAGGUGGCAAGCGUUGUUCGGAAUUACUGGGCGUAAAGGGCGCGUAGGCGGCCUUCUAAGUCGGACGUGAAAGCCCCAGGCUUAACCUGGGAACUGCGUCCGAUACUGGGAGGCUUGGAUUCGGGAGAGGGAUGUGGAAUUCCAGGUGUAGCGGUGAAAUGCGUAGAUAUCUGGAGGAACACCGGUGGCGAAGGCGGCAUCCUGGACCGAGAUCGACGCUGAGGCGCGAAAGCUAGGGGAGCGAACGGG